rnacentral:rRNA from 1 species
AGCGAACGCUGGCGGCAGGCUUAACACAUGCAAGUCGAGCGGGCCUUUCGGGGUCAGCGGCGGACGGGUGAGUAACGCGUGGGAACGUGCCUUCUGGUUCGGAAUAACCCUGGGAAACUAGGGCUAAUACCGGAUACGCCCCUAUGGGGAAAGGUUUACUGCCGGAAGAUCGGCCCGCGUCUGAUUAGCUAGUUGGUGGGGUAAUGGCCUACCAAGGCGACGAUCAGUAGCUGGUCUGAGAGGAUGAUCAGCCACACUGGGACUGAGACACGGCCCAGACUCCUACGGGAGGCAGCAGUGGGGAAUAUUGGACAAUGGGCGCAAGCCUGAUCCAGCCAUGCCGCGUGAGCGAUGAAGGCCUUAGGGUUGUAAAGCUCUUUUAUCCGGGACGAUAAUGACGGUACCGGAGGAAUAAGCCCCGGCUAACUUCGUGCCAGCCGCCGCAGUAAUAC